rnacentral:rRNA from 1 species
GACGAACGCUGGCGGCGUGCUUAACACAUGCAAGUCGAACGGAAAGGCCCAGCUUGCUGGGUGCUCGAGUGGCGAACGGGUGAGUAACACGUGGGUGAUCUGCCUCUAACUUCGGGAUAGCUUGGGAAACUGGGUCUAAUACCGGAUAGGACAAUCGUUUAGUGUCGGUUGUGGAAAGUUUUUUCGGUUAGGGAUGAGCCCGCGGCCUAUCAGCUUGUUGGUGGGGUAAUGGCCUACCAAGGCGUCGACGGGUAGCCGGCCUGAGAGGGUGGACGGCCACAUUGGGACUGAGAUACGGCCCAGACUCCUACGGGAGGCAGCAGUGGGGAAUAUUGCACAAUGGGCGCAAGCCUGAUGCAGCGACGCCGCGUGGGGGAUGACGGCCUUCGGGUUGUAAACCUCUUUCGACAGGGACGAAGCUUUGGUGACGGUACCUGUAUAAGAAGCACCGGCUAACUACGUG